UUGCUCCACAGAUGCUACAGCCAACGCUGCUCCCAGCUGCUCCUCGCUGUGGCUUCUCUGUUUUUGAAAAAAACCCGCCUUGACACUCCACCGCUGCUUAAUUUACUCUGAUGCCUUCACAUUAGAUCACUUUAGCUUCUUACAACUCGAUUUACAACUCAUAACCUGGUGGACAUUCCCUAUAUCCUCUCCCAAAUCAUCUACUCAUCGGUCAGGUUUUUUUGUUGUGUGCUGUUCCUUUGACUGUCCAUUGGGUGGCAAGCUACCAGAGAACCACCGAUACAGUGUGUUA